UUCUUUGCUGGCGACCGGCGCACGGGUGAGUAACACGUAUCCAACCUACCCUUUACUCGGGGAUAGCCUUUCGAAAGAAAGAUUAAUACCCGAUAGCAUAAUGAUUCCGCAUGGUUUCAUUAUUAAAGGAUUCCGGUAAAGGAUGGGGAUGCGUUCCAUUAGGUUGUUGGUGAGGUAACGGCUCACCAAGCCUUCGAUGGACAGGGGUUCUGAGAGGAAGGUCCCCCACAUUGGAACUGAGACACGGUCCAAACUCCUACGGGAGGCAGCAGUGAGGAAUAUUGGUCAAUGGGCGCUAGCCUGAACCAGCCAAGUAGCGUGAAGGAUGAAGGCUCUAUGGGUCGUAAACUUCUUUUAUAUAAGAAUAAAGUGCAGUAUGUAUACUGUUUUGUAUGUAUUAUAUGAAUAAGGAUCGGCUAACUCCGUGCCAGCAGCCGCGGUAAUACGGAGGAUCCGAGCGUUAUCCGGAUUUAUUGGGUUUAAAGGGAGCGUAGGUGGACUGGUAAGUCAGUUGUGAAAGUUUGCGGCUCAACCGUAAAAUUGCAGUUGAUACUGUCAGUCUUGAGUACAGUAGAGGUGGGCGGAAUUCGUGGUGUAGCGGUGAAAUGCUUAGAUAUCACGAAGAACUCCGAUUGCGAAGGCAGCUCACUGGACUGCAACUGACACUGAUG
rnacentral:rRNA from 1 species